rnacentral:sRNA from 1 species
GAAGAUUUCCCGCGUAACCUUUAGAUCACCUGUUGUCUGAGAAGCGUCCGCGGGUCCUUGAUCGAAACGCCGUAUUCGUCGACGACUGCUCGGUGACUGUGAUGCGCUAGACCGUACUAUCGAUCUUGCGGAAGCUGCGGAA